UAAUGACAACCCUCCGGAGUUCCUGCACGAGACCUAUCAUGCCAAUGUGCCUGAGAGGUCCAAUGUGGGAACAUCAGUAAUCCAGGUGACAGCUUCAGAUGCAGAUGACCCCACUUAUGGAAAUAGCGCCAAGUUAGUGUACAGUAUCCUCGAAGGACAACCCUAUUUUUCGGUGGAAGCACAGACAGGUAUCAUCAGAACAGCCCUACCCAACAUGGACAGGGAGGCCAAGGAGGAGUACCACGUGGUGAUCCAGGCCAAGGACAUGGGUGGACAUAUGGGCGGACUCUCAGGGACAACCAAAGUGACGAUCACACUGACCGAUGUCAAUGACAACCCACCAAAGUUUCCGCAGAGUAAGUAGGUGGGCUUGGCUUUCACAUUUCCAUGGUGCCACAGCCAGCUCUCUGCCUCCUCUCACCUAUUCCUGCUUUACUCAGGUAUCAAAAAGAAAAUCUAGAAAACUAGAGGCAAUUCAUAUCAUUCUUACAAAAACAAAACACAAAAACAAGACCACAACAACAACAACUUCAGGGAGUAGAGGUAGUAGGAGAAUGAAAAGAUGUAAAAAGUUCUACAACCCUGGAAACAAAAUAUUGUUUCCGCUAAGUAUUUUGCUUCGUAGUAGUGAUGCAAUCUAGUAAUUAAUUAACCCUUUUCUGCCUCAGUGUCCUCAUUUCUAACCUGGAUAUAACAGUCCCUGAAUCAGUUAUUAAUUACUGUGUAACAAAUUGCUGGAAAACUUAGUGGUUUAAAACAAUAAAAAUAAUAACAAUAA
rnacentral:sRNA from 1 species